GGAAAUGAUCCAGAAAUGGCCAAACCGGAGCUCGAGUCGUAUUUGUCACCUAGCAGGGGUUUGUUUUGUUCACUCAAGGUGGAAGGAGAAAACUCAGCCCCUUUCUUCCAUGGGGGCCCUUCUCUUGGUGCUUAAUUCUCAAGCUGAGGAAAGAAGCCCAUUUAUCUUUCGAAUCACAGGGAAGCAGACAGGAAUGAAGAAGCUUUUUUAACUGCGUCUCCCAAUACCCAGCCAUGAAAAUUCAACCAACAGUCACCCGGCCUCCCAGAGCCUCUCUGAAGCAGAGCUCCGCUGGAGCUGUUUGGUUCCAAAAGAGGCCACCACCACAGCUCCAGGCACACGCAGGAGGCGACCCAGCCGCGGAAUGGAUGGAGCAGGGCCCAGGCUGGCGAGGGUCGGCCCAGCCGGCUGUCUACUGUCACAGGCACCGUGCUACGAGUGGGAGACCCUGACCUAUACAUGGUUAACACACAAAUAAACUGGAGUAUUUUGUGACUUGAUCAUAUGUAAUUCAAAUUCCAGUUUUAAUAAAGUUUUAUC
rnacentral:lncRNA from 1 species